GAGAGGAGAGGCAGACUGGGUUCACAUCUCACACAUCAGCUGUCACGUAACUGGACUAAUGUUUAGUCUUACCCUAAUAGUAGAGGUAUCUGCAGUGAGUGAAAUUAUGAUGGAUGUUGUGACAGGAAUGAGGCAACUUAUUGAAUUGAAGGUCACAAGUGUGGAAGGUUCAAAGAACAAAACUAGCCCCUGUAAAAAUACAGAUGUUGCCGAUCAUGCCAGACAAUGGGCCAACUUGUGUUCAGCGUUCAACGCCAUAGUGCCCUCAAAGCUCAUCAAUAAGCUAAGGACCCUUGGACUAAACACCUCCCCCUGCAACUGGAUCCUGGACUUCCUGAGGGGCCGCCCCUAGGUGGUAAGGGUAGGUUACAACACAUCCGCCACGCUGACCCUCAACACAGUGGCCCCUCAGGGGUGUGUGCUCAGUCCCCUCCUGUACUCCCUGAUCAAUCAUGACUGCACGGCCGGGCAUGACUCCAACACCAUCAUUAAGUUUGCCGAUGACACAAUAGUGGUAGGCCUGAUCACCAAUAAAGAUGAGACAGCCUAUAGGGAGGAGGUCAGAGACCUGGCAGUGUGGUGCCAGGACAACAACCUCUCCCUCAACGUCGUGAAGAAGUCACGACAAAACCUAUUCCCCCUCAGGAGACUGAGACCCAUGGACUGGGUCCAUGGGUUCUCAGAUCCUCAAAAGGUUCUACAGCUGCACAAUUGAGACCAUCCUGACUGGUUGCAUCACUGCCUGGUAUGGCAACUGCUCGGCCUCCGACCGCAAGGCACUACGGAGGGUAGUGUGUAUGACCCAGUACAUCACUGGGGCCAAGCUUCCUGUCAUCCAGGACCUCUAAUACCAGAGGGUGUCAUAGGAGAGCCCUAAAAAUUGUCAAAGACGCUAGCUACCCAAGUCAUAGACUGUUCUCUCUACUACUGCACGGCAAACGGUAACGGAGUGCCAAGUCUAGGUCCAAGAGGCUUCUAAACAGCUUCUACCCACCUAAGCUAUAAGAUUCCUGAACAUCUAAUCAAAUGGCAACCCAGACUAUUUGCAUUCCCCCCUCCCCCCCUCUUUUACACUGCUGCUACUCUCUGUUGUUAUCAUCUAUGCAUAGUCACUUUAAUAACUCUACCUAAAUGUACAUAUUACCUCAACACAGGAAAAUUCCACUUCCUCAAAUAACAUCUAAGCUCCCUAACAUUAUUGUGGGAAGAAAUUCUCAGUAAAAAGCUGUAAAACCAUAAUCAGCCGUAAGUGCCUAAAAUCUGUUAUGUACAUUCUGUAUGAGAGGACAGGCUUCAAACCUACCACACAUGGUUCUGAGAGAGCGAGAGAAAGAGAAUGUAUGCAGUGUGGAGUCAAGACAGGUACUAUGUAAUCGUAUUGGAUGAUAAAUAAUUUAGCUAUGGGCAGCUAUUAAUCUACUAUAGCGCGAGUCAGCUUGGUUGGUUGCUGUCUCUCCCUCUCUCCCUCCUCCCUGCACCAGUGUCACUCGCUCACACUCAUAUUAUCCCACACAGCAUGGCCUCUGCUAGAGCUCUCCCUACCUCCUCUCCCUGGCGCUUUAUCAGCUGUGGUUAAUAAAGUAGCUUUAAAAAAUUGACUUUUCUACUGCUUCCCUCACUCGGAUCGGACCGGGUCUGGAUCUGACCAGGUCUGUGCGGAACUGGUCUAGUUGUCCUUAGGUCCGUUUGGAAUGGGUCUCUAUGUUUUUAAAAACUUGGAUGGGGAAAGCCCCAGGUCCAUUUGGAAUGGGUCUCUAUGUUUUUAAAAACUUGGAUGGGGAAAGCCCCAGGUCCAUUUGGAAUGGGUCUCUAUGUUUUUAAAAACUUGGAUGGGGAAAGCCCCAGGUCCAUUUGGAAUGGGUCUCUAUGUUUUUAAAAACUUGGAUGGGGAAAGCCCCAGGUCCAUUUGGAAUGGGUCUCUAUGUUUUUAAAAACUUGGAUGGGGAAAGCCCCAGGUCCAUUUGGAAUGGGUCUCUAUGUUUUUAAAAACUUGGAUGGGGAAAGCCCCAGGUCCAUUUGGAAUGGGUCUCUAUGUUUUUAAAAACUUGGAUGGGGAAAGCCCCAGGUCCAUUUGGAAUGGGUCUCUAUGUUUUUAAAAACUUGGAUGGGGAAAGCCCCAGGUCCAUUUGGAAUGGGUCUCUAUGUUUUUAAAAACUUGGAUGGGGAAAGCCCCAGGUCCAUUUAGAAUGGGUCUCUAUGUUUUUAAAAACUUGGAUGGGGAAAGCCCCAGGUCCAUUUGGAACGGGUCUCUAUGUUUUUAAAAACUUGGAUGGGGAAAGCCCCAGGUCCAUUUAGAACGGGUCUCUAUGUUUUUAAAAACUUGGAUGGGGAAAGCCCCAGGUCCAUUUAGAAUGGGUCUCUAUGUUUUUAAAAACUUGGAUGGGGAAAGCCCCAGGUCCAUUUAGAACGGGUCUCUAUGUUUUUAAAAACUUGGAUGGGGAAAGCCCCAGGUCCAUUUAGAACGGGUCUCUAUGUUUUUAAAAACUUGGAUGGGGAAAGCCCCAGGUCCAUUUAGAAUGGGUCUCUAUGUUUUUAAAAACUUGGAUGGGGAAAGCCCCAGGUCCAUUUAGAAUGGGUCUCUAUGUUUUUAAAAACUUGGAUGGGGAAAGCCCCAGGUCCAUUUAGAAUGGGUCUCUAUGUUUUUAAAAACUUGGAUGGGGAAAGCCCCAGGUCCAUUUAGAAUGGGUCUCUAUGUUUUUAAAAACUUGGAUGGGGAAAGCCCCAGGUCCAUUUAGAAUGGGUCUCUAUGUUUUUAAAAACUUGGAUGGGGAAAGCCUCAGGUCCAUUUAGAAUGGGUCUCUAUGUUUUUAAAAACUUGGAUGGGGAAAGCCCCAGGUCCAUUUAGAACGGGUCUCUAUGUUUUUAAAAACUUGGAUGGGGAAAGCCCCAGGUCCAUUUAGAACGGGUCUCUAUGUUUUUAAAAACUUGGAUGGGGAAAGCCCCAGGUCCAUUUAGAACGGGUCUCUAUGUUUUUAAAAACUUGGAUGGGGAAAGCCCCAGGUCCAUUUAGAACGGGUCUCUAUGUUUUUAAAAACUUGGAUGGGGAAAGCCCCAGGUCCAUUUCAGAACAGCUCCAUGACACUGUGAAGGCCUCUGGUUGGAGUUACGCUAUAGCCCAUCACAUCAGUUUGGAUUAUUACAGAUUUAAUGGACAGACUGCUAACCUGAUUAUCCGAACUCCGGCUUGCGCGUAAAUCAUGCGCUGAUGUUAAGUUUUCCCGAUUUUUACACUAGGCCCUAAAAAUCUAUUUUGGUUUGUUUGUUUGUCAUG